ACAGAGGAUGGCAUCACAGGGUGCAGGGAUAAGAUGCUCACACGGAGAGACUGGAAACACGAGCUGAGCGCAGGGGUGAGAAGCCAGUGAUAAGAACUGCAAACCGUCUUUGGGUGUGAGCUUUCUGGUGUCAGUGAGACCAGUGAGGGGCAGUGACAAGGAAUGAGCUCCUGGCUUCCUGGGUGUGAAGGUUAAUUAAGCAAGAAAAGAAAAGGAACCGAAGUCAGAGGGUGGUCCUGACUCCUGCUGGGAAGGUGUUUCCCACAUUCCUCAGUGGGUUUUGCUGUAAGUUCCUCUGUGUGAUUCUUUGUUUCUGAACAGAAGCCAACACUGUCGUUUUAUUUAUUUAUCAUUCAUUCAUUCAUUUAAAUUAUGUCAGUCUCCUCUUUAUAUAAAUGAGAAUCCAGUGCUCUCCCAUGCCUAACGCACUCCUUCCCAUGACCCCAAGAUGUUUAUAUCAUGACCUUUGCUUACAACAGUGGUCUGGUGUUCAUUCGUACAACCACAUAAAUUCUUUAUUUAAAUGUCA